UGGGGAAUAUUGGACAAUGGGGGGAACCCUGAUCCAGCCAUGCCGCGUGUGUGAAGAAGGCCUUAUGGUUGUAAAGCACUUUAAGCGAGGAGGAGGGUACUGGUAUUAAUACUACCAGGUACUGGACGUUACUCGCAGAAUAAGCACCGGCUAACUCUGUGCCAGCAGCCGCGGUAAUACAGAGGGUGCAAGCGUUAAUCGGAAUUACUGGGCGUAAAGCGUGCGUAGGCGGCUUUUUAAGUCGGAUGUGAAAUCCCCGAGCUUAACUUGGGAAUUGCAUUCGAUACUGGGAAGCUAGAGUAUGGGAGAGGAUGGUAGAAUUCCAGGUGUAGCGGUGAAAUGCGUAGAGAUCUGGAGGAAUACCGAUGGCGAAGGCAGCCAUCUGGCCUAAUACUGACGCUGAGGUACGAAAGCAUGGGGAGCAAACAGG
rnacentral:rRNA from 1 species